rnacentral:rRNA from 1 species
AGUGAACGCUGGCGGUAGGCCUAACACAUGCAAGUCGAACGGCAGCACAGGAGAGCUUGUUCUCUGGGUGGCGAGUGGCGGACGGGUGAGGAAUACAUCGGAAUCUACUCUGUCGUGGGGGAUAACGUAGGGAAACUUACGCUAAUACCGCAUACGACCUACGGGUGAAAGCAGGGGACCUUCAGGCCUUGCGCGAUUGAAUGAGCCGAUGUCGGAUUAGCUAGUUGGCGGGGUAAAGGCCCACCAAGGCGACGAUCCGUAGCUGGUCUGAGAGGAUGAUCAGCCACACUGGAACUGAGACACGGUCCAGACUCCUACGGGAGGCAGCAGUGGGGAAUAUUGGACAAUGGGCGCAAGCCUGAUCCAGCCAUACCGCGUGGGUGAAGAAGGCCUUCGGGUUGUAAAGCCCUUUUGUUGGGAAAGAAAUCCAGCUGGCUAAUACCCGGUUGGGAUGACGGUACCCAAAGAAUAAGCACCGGCUAACUUCGUGCCAGCCGCCGCGGUAA